rnacentral:rRNA from 1 species
GCUAACGUCCAUACCACGUUGAAUACACCGGUUCUCGUCCGAUCACCGAAGUUAAGCAACGUCGGGCGCGGUCAGUACUUGGAUGGGUGACCGCCUGGGAACACCGCGUGACGUUGGCU